ACGAACCCGCGGCAGGCCUAACACAUGCAAGUCGAGCGCACCUUCGGGUGAGCGGCGGACGGGUUAGUAACGCGUGGGAACGUACCCUUUUCUACGGAAUAGCCUUUGGAAACGAAGAGUAAUACCGUAUACGCCCUUUGGGGGAAAGAUUUAUCGGAGAAGGAUCGGCCCGCGUUAGAUUAGAUAGUUGGUGGGGUAACGGCCUACCAAGUCUACGAUCUAUAGCUGGUUUUAGAGGAUGAUCAGCAACACUGGGACUGAGACACGGCCCAGACUCCUACGGGAGGCAGCAGUGGGGAAUCUUAGACAAUGGGCGCAAGCCUGAUCUAGCCAUGCCGCGUGAGUGAUGAAGGCCUUAGGGUCGUAAAGCUCUUUCGCCUGUGAUGAUAAUGACAGUAGCAGGUAAAGAAACCCCGGCUAACUCCGUGCCAGCAGCCGCGGUAAUACGGAGGGGGUUAGCGUUGUUCGGAAUUACUGGGCGUAAAGCGCACGUAGGCGGAUUGGAAAGUUGGGGGUGAAAUCCCGGGGCUCAACCCCGGAACUGCCUCCAAAACUAUCAGUCUAGAGUUCGAGAGAGGUGAGUGGAAUUCCAAGUGUAGAGGUGAAAUUCGUAGAUAUUUGGAGGAACACCAGUGGCGAAGGCGGCUCACUGGCUCGAUACUGACGCUGA
rnacentral:rRNA from 1 species